GCAGCCGCGGUAAUACGUAGGGUGCAAGCGUUAAUCGGAAUUACUGGGCGUAAAGCGUGCGCAGGUGGUUAUUUAAGUCUGAUGUGAAAUCCCCGGGCUCAACCUGGGAACUGCAUUCAAAACUGAAUGACUAGAGUAUGGUAGAGGGUGGUAGAAUUCCCUGUGUAGCGGUGAAAUGCGUAGAUAUAGGAAGGAACACCAGUGGCG
rnacentral:rRNA from 1 species